rnacentral:rRNA from 1 species
CAGCAGCCGCGGUAAUACGUAGGUGGCAAGCGUUGUCUGGAAUUAUUGGGCGUAAAGCGCGCGCAGGCGGAUAGGUCAGUCUGUCUUAAAAGUUCGGGGCUUAACCCCGUGAUGGGAUGGAAACUGCCAAUCUAGAGUAUCGGAGAGGAAAGUGGAAUUCCUAGUGCAGCGGUGAAAUGCGUUGAGAUCGGAAAGAACACCAACGGCGAAAGCACUCUGCUGGGCCGACACUGACACUGAGAGACGAAAGCUAGGGGAGCAAAUGGGAUUAGAUACCCGCGUAGUCCCUGUCUCUUAUACA